rnacentral:lncRNA from 1 species
GUUAACCCCAGAGUCUUCUGGCUGCCGCUGCCUCCUCGGCUUUUAAUCUUCUGUGGAUAUUUCUUCGAUUUUUCCCAAACGCCCACAGAUCCUGGGGGAAGCCACCCCAUUCAGCCACCGACCAUGGAAGAAAGUCUGACUUUUUAUUUACCAAAUAUUUUAAAGAUGUUUGAAGAUCCAUAUGCUGCCUGGAAGCUGUUUUUUCUAGAGACCCAAGUCUCCUGCCUAUAUUGUUACAAUUUUUUUUCAAGAACUGGUUUCUUCUUUGCCUCCACUAAUGGUAAGUUUGUAAUUUUAAACAUUUCUGGGAUUAAAUCUUUGAAGGAGCCACCAGAUAAAAAGGAUUUUCAUUGUGUUUCUUCUCCCCAAACCAAUCUUUGUAUUUUUCUUUAGCUUUGAUCUCUGCACGUUCUACCUAAUCUUGUGUGGUUAAUUUUUACCAAAAGAAAAAAAAUAGUUUUUUUUUAUUGUUAAAGCUAAAUAUGUAUAAUGGAAAUUAUACUUUAAUUGCUGUGAACUAUAGGGGAACUCAAAUAUUUCAAAAUGGACUUGUUUUGUGCCAGCAAUGUUGGUAAUGCCAAAUAUGUGCAUAUCCUCUUUAUAAAAAUUAUGUAUUACCUAAUUUGUCCAGAACUAUAUUAUCAGCAGGCAAACUGUGGAUGUAGUUUAAAAAAAAUAGGCCUAUUUUGGUUCUCCUGAUGGAUUACUUGAAUGCAAACUACAGAAAAGCUGCCCUUGGUUUAAUGAAGGUGGAGAUUGACAUAACCG